AGUGAACGCUGGCGGUAGGCCUAACACAUGCAAGUCGAACGGCAGCACAGUAAGAGCUUGCUCUUACGGGUGGCGAGUGGCGGACGGGUGAGGAAUACAUCGGAAUCUACUUUUUCGUGGGGGAUAACGAAGGGAAACUUACGCUAAUACCGCAUACGCUCUACGGGUGAAAGCAGGGGAUCUUCGGACCUUGCGCGAUUGAAUGCGCCGAUGUCGGAGUAGCUAGUUGGCGGGGUAAAGGCCCACCAAGGCGACGAUACGUAGCUGGUCUGAGAGGAUGAUCAGCCACACUGGAACUGAGACACGGUCCAGACUCCUACGGGAGGCAGCAGUGGGGAAUAUUGGACAAUGGGCGCAAGCCUGAUCCAGCCAUACCGCGUGGGUGAAGAAGGCCUUCGGGUUGUAAAGCCCUUUUGUUGGGAAAGAAAAGCAGCAGGUUAAUACCCCGCUGUUCUGACGGUACCCAAAGAAUAAGCACCGGCUAACUUCGUG
rnacentral:rRNA from 1 species